rnacentral:rRNA from 1 species
UACAGAGGUGGCAAGCGUUGUUCGGAGUUACUGGGCGUAAAGGGUGCGCAGGCGGUGGAGCAAGUCUGUUGUGAAAUCUCCCGGCUUAACCGGGAGGGUGCGGCGGAAACUGUUCUGCUGGAGUGAGGGAGAGGCAAGCGGAAUUCCUGGUGUAGCGGUGAAAUGCGUAGAUAUCAGGAGGAACACCCGUGGUGCAGACGGCUUGCUGGACCUCCACUGACGCUGAGGCACGAAAGCGUGGGGAGCAAACAGG